UACGUAGGGUGCGAGCGUUGUCCGGAAUUAUUGGGCGUAAAGAGCUCGUAGGCGGUCUGUCGCGUCGGAUGUGAAAACUCGGGGCUCAACCCCGGGCCUGCAUUCGAUACGGGCAGACUAGAGUACGGCAGGGGAGACUGGAAUUCCUGGUGUAGCGGUGAAAUGCGCAGAUAUCAGGAGGAACACCGGUGGCGAAGGCGGGUCUCUGGGCCGAAACUGACGCUGAGGAGCGAAAGCGUGGGGAGCAAACAGG
rnacentral:rRNA from 1 species